GUCCGACUCCCCGCACCACCACGUGCUAGCUGUGUGCCCUCGGCCAGGUCACCGAACCUCUCUGUGCCUCUGUUUCUCAUCUGUGAAAUUCGAUUGCUAGUCCAUAGUACCUGCCAUAUGCCGUUGGUGGGAAGCCAUGCCACGACAGCAGUGAAGUGCUCGGGACAGUGCGCAGAGGGGACCCCGUGAGCACGCUUGCCAGCAGCAGCAAUUUUCCUCUUGACCAGAUGGAGCUCCCGGGUGGUGAGAUGAGCCAUCCACAGUGAGCUCAGUCUUCUUGUUGCCGGACAAGUCAGGGGGACGGAAGUGAGACAGAGGCAUCCAGGACUUCCCACGGGUCGAGCACCUUGCUACUGUAUUCUUUCACUCUCUUUGUUAAAAGACUGUCUCUCUAACAUCUUCGCUGGAUCAUUUUAUAAGGAUCAAAUUCAUCUCGAAACCACUGCCGUUACUUUAAUGACACCUUUCUGGAGACCCCAGCAGAGCACAGGUGAGUACUACAAAUUCUCUUCUGUUCCUUUUUUUUUUUUUUUUUUUUUUUUGAAUUUGUUGACUUAAUGGUAGGGUCUCCUGGCUCCUUUCAAACCCAUUUCUUUUUUUCCCCAGAGUGUCCUUUAUCUCCUGGUUUGGCCCAGUGGCAAUAAGCUUGAAAUAUGCUGGUGAGAAGGGGAGGCUUACAGAGCCUUUGAGACCCAAGUGAUGUCUCCGAUGACGCACAACCUCCUCACAGGACGUGGUGGGCUUAAAAAAGCUCUUUCCAAUCACUCAGAUUAUUUCCCCUGGUAGAGCUGUGGCCCAAAAUAUCCAACAGUCCAUUCCCAGUGCGCCUCUCGAGGCUCAGAUGCUGCAAGGAUGGCGAUCUUCCUGGGAAAUGCAGCUGCUGUUACAUAAUAAGGGGUGGCUCUUCCCUGUCUUAGCAGAGACAACCGUCCCUGUUGAUUGGGGCAGGGAAUUCAUCAAAGUCAUACUUCAGACUCAGCGCCGACACUAACUCUCUUGGCUCCGAG
rnacentral:lncRNA from 1 species